UUCUUGCCGCAUCCCAUGACAAGUAGCCCCUGCCCAAUGACUCAAGUUAAAUGGCCGCUCACGUGCUAAGGUAGCAUAAUGAAUUGUCGCUUAAUUGGUGGCUUGUAUGAAAGGGAUAACGCUAGGUUAACUGUCUCCUCAAAAUUCAUAAAAAUUAACCUACGGGGUGAACAGGCCCCUAUUACUUCAAAAGACAAGAAGACCCUAAUGCGCUUCAGAGAAACAAUUAUUACAAUAAUCUACCUCUUUUGUUGGGGCGACAUCUGCACACAAAACACCAGAUCUCAACCAACGCCUACCGGCGUCCACAAUAACCCCUAUAGGGAUAUGCUAGCAACCAUAGGGAUAACAGGCUAAUCCUCUGUUGGAGUUCAUAUCGACCAGAGGGUUUGGCACCUCGAUGUUGGCUUAAGGGUCUCCCUAGGUGCAGGCGCUUAGGAGAGAGGUUUGUUCAACCUAUAACCCCUU
rnacentral:rRNA from 1 species